CUACGGGGGGCUGCAGUUAGGAAUAAUCUACAAUGCGCGCAAGCGUGAUAGUUUGAGCCAGAGUGCUUUUCAAUGAAAAGCUUUUGCUAAAUGUAAAAAGUUUGGCGAAUAAGGACUGGGUAAGACAGGUGCCAGCCGCCGCGGUAAUACCUGCGGUCCAAGUCGCAACCAUUUUUAUUGGGUCUAAAACAUCCGUAGCUUGCUUUGUAAGUUCCUUGUGAAAUCCUAUGUCUUGAGCAUGGGGCGCGCAAGGAGUACUGCAGAGCUAGAGACUGGAAGACGUAAGAAGUACAUCCGAAGUAGCGGUUAAAUGUGUUACUCUUGGGUGGACUAACGAUAGCGAAGGCAUCUUACGAGGACAGUUCUGACAGUAAGGGAUGAAGGCUAGGGGCGCAAAUGGGAUUAGAUACCCUCGUAGUC
rnacentral:rRNA from 1 species